GAGUUGUACUUCAUCCAGGAUCGACUAAUUGUCGAGAGAAUACCCUUUGGGGAAAUUAAAUAUGUCCAGAGCACAAAAAGUGCCUUGGAGUUGAGUCCACGAGAGCAAAUAGCGCAAACAGCAUUAUUGGGCUGAUGUUACUCUCGGGGACCGGUCUCUGGAGGUAAGAGACCGGUUCAAUCGGCUGGGCGUAGCGGCGUUGCUUGGUGCAACCGGUCCCUGGCAGGGAUGGACCGGUUCCCGAACGUGGUCCCAGCGAGAAAUGCCGAAAUUUGGCUAAGUCCUGAAAAGUGAGCUCUCGGGGACCGGUCUCUCAAGCGAGCACUGGUCUCCAGAGGACCGGUCUCCCGGGGAGAGACCGGUUCCCGAAUGCGUGCACCCGAGGGAGGCUCUCGGGGACCGAUCCCAAGUCGGGGAGACCGGUCCCUCCGCGCGAAAACCGCCCAGUGAGGGCUGUGCAAGGGGUUAAAAGUUGAGGGGUCUAAAUGCAAAAUGGCCUUUAUUAGAGAGAGCUGAGCCCUCUCUCCCUCACACUCUCUCAUUUCACUCUCUCUCACUCCCAUUUCUCUCUUGCUCUCUCUCUCUCUAGAAAAGAAAGGAGAAGAAGAACAAGAAGGAGGGGAAGGAAAAGAAGGAGAAGGAAAGGAAGGAGAAGAAGAAGGAGAUCAAGAGGAAGGCCUUGGACACCUUCAUCUCCCUCUCCUCUUCUCUUUAGAGUAGCACAUGAGGUAGGCUCUUGAACCCUAGCUCCUAGAACUUAGGGUUUUGGGUUUUUAUGCUUUGGAAUGGGUCAAAUGGGCCCUGAGCAUGCUUCUAAGUAGAUCAAUCCCAAGAAUCUAGGGAUUUAUUGGUGGUUUGCUAUAGGUGUAAACCUAGGGCUCCAAAAUGGAGUUUUUGUAAAAAUGUGAGAUUGAUCUCAUUUGAAGUCUUGGAAACCCUAUUGAUAGGUCACAAAACGUGGGGGCGAAGUCGGUUUUGGCAUUCGGCGAGCCGGCGUGAAUUUCUUGGCAAAAUAGGGCCGGGUUAACAUUGAUUUGGGCAAGGGAAGGCUAAAGCCUUUUCGUAAAGUACGUCGAGGAGCAUUUCUAAAGCCUCUACAUCGAUAAAAGGUGGGGGGUGCCAUCCCGAAGCUUUCGAACUCCUUUCUAUGUCUUAGAUUUACAUUUAAUCUCAUCUCUUCAUGUUGCAUUGUAGGAUUGCAUAGUAGCUCCAUUCCUUAUGCUUUCUAAAUGAUAAUCUAGUGUACUUGGAACGCUUGGUAACUUAGAUAGGUGAGGAUUGGGUCGGAACGUGGAUCCUAUGAUGUGAAAGAAAAGAGAUGAACCCGAUGGGGGUAUUGAUGACAUAGAGAGUAGUGUUUAGUGUAAAAGAACACACGUGUGGCAUCCAAAAGUUACAUGAUGACGAGUGGCAUUAAUGUAGUGUAUAUGACACUAGAGUUUGAGAACCUAGGGAUAGGUGGAUCCCUUAGAAAAUGCCUUGUGAACAAUGAAUUUAGAAAAGCUAAAUAGCAUUGCAUGAAUGUCGGGAACAAAGGAUCCCGCGAGAGAUGUUGACUCUAGUUGUAGAGUGCUUCCUCACUUGGAGAGGACUUGAUUGGGUUGUGACCCUAGUUGUAGAGUGUCCUCACUUGGAGAGAAUAGAUCUAGCUCACAGUCUGCGUUUAGGGUGGUAUAGCCAUCCGAUCCCCACAUGGAGGGGAUUGUCGUCGAGUACUCCGGAGUGUCGCGCGACUAGGACCACUUGGAGGUCCGGACCACAUGGAGGUCCGCAGACGGUCCCGGGCUUGGGUGCACUUGGAGCUCCCUCCCCACUUUGGGAUUGAAAGGUGAGUCAUGGGCGAGCCCUAGGGCCUCGCCACAGAUUGGGUAAAUGAAAAGGUUAAAGGUUUAUUAAUGUCAUUGAACAUUGCUAUUCGAACAUGGAUCGAAUUUGUUAGCAUGGUAGCAAACCUUUAUUAUAUGAUGCAUGCAUUCAUAUUCAUGAUUAUGGGCAUAGUAGCAUAGUUUUCCUACUACUGCAUUUACAGCUUUCAGAUACAUAUCUAUCUAUCUAUCUGUUGUUACUUGUGCCCACUUGGACCUAGUGGGGAGAUCGGCAGAGUCGGCGGCCGAGCCCACUGGGAACUAUGGAAGAUAGUUCUCACCCCACUCUAUUUCCAGUGGUAGGUACAGGGUUGUCGAGAGAGGACCGCGGCAAGGGCAUCGCGCCCAAUUAGUGAGACCGUGGUAGCAUAGUAGCUUUCCUUUUUUGCAUUAGUACACCUAUGUAUUUGAGAGAUGCAUUGUAGGUGAGGAUUUGGAGAGCUAUGUAUUUUGAGAAUGAUGUAAAUGAAAAUGAUGAAACUACUGUAAUAGUUAGUAAAGUACUCUCUUCAUUUCACAUGUUAUUCCUGUGGAUUGCUUGCUCUUUGUAUCGUUGGCACUGUUCGUGCCCUUGUGAAUGUGUAUGAUUAGAAUUUAAAUUCCUAGGUAAAUUCUUGUACACAUUCUUGUUGUGAGCCUUGGGCGGACAGGGGAGGUGCUGUCCGUUCGGCGGUCCGCUCGGCGCACCCGAAUCGUGCCAAAUUGGUAGUGGUUUCGGGCCGGGGCGUGACAGCUGUUUUGGUAUCAGAGCCUAAGAGCAAGUAAAGAGAGAAAGUCUAGGAUGACCUAGGAGACCCUAGGUUGGUAAGCCUUAAGGUUGUAGGUGCGUGAGCGGAACGUGAACCUAUAACGAUGGCGGAAGUUGAUUCGAUUGGGUCGAAGUUUGUAAUAUGUCUCUAGUUGUGGUUAGAGACGGAUUCAAGUGGUAUGCGUUCUUGUCUUGAGGUGGUUGUGUUGGCGGCCGACGACAUGAUACCAAGAGUCUAGAAUGAGUACACUUGUGUGCUUCCGCCCGAUUUUGUUGUUGAGUCGUCAUGUGUCGUGAUUUUCGACGAGGUGAAUAGUUAAGACGACUGACCAAGUAUUUGCGUUUCAGGAACUAAUGUCUCCAAGACGCUACACACGUAGAUCUACUCUGGCACCGACUCCUGAGGUGCCCGAGCCGGACGAACCGAGUGUGAUGGAUCGGUUGCAGGCGCAAGUGGCCGCAUUGACCAAUGUGGUGCAGCGCCAGGAGAACCGAUUCGAGUGGCUCCAGGAGCUCUUGGAGCGGCAGGCGGCGGCAGCGGCCGCAACGGCGACGGACGGACGCGAUGUGCCCGCGCCCUCGGCUCGUGUACCUGAGCCAGCUGAGGGUGAGGGUAUAGCGGCGGUUUCGGUGGCGGCGCGUCCCCCGCCGGCGAUCGUACCACCGGCAGCGUCGGGAUCGGCUACACCCGAUGUGACGGCCGAGGAUGUGGAAGGAGGGCGCGCAUUGGCGGCUCUUAUCAAGUUCAAUAAGUUCCAUCCGUCGACCUUUGAGGGCGAGAAGGUGGAACCGGCGAUGGUCGAGUCUUGGAUCGACUCGAUGGAAACCCUCUUCGAUGAUUUGCGUACCUUGGAGAGGGAUAAGGUGUACCUCGCCACCCAUUGCUUGGAGAAGGCGGCGAAGGUGUGGUGGAAGCGCGUCAAACGGGAUCGGCUUCCCGGCCUUCCGCCGAUGUUGUGGGAGGAAUUUAAGCGGGAGAUGUUUGCCAACUAUUUCCCCGAUACAUUGAAGCGGAAGCUCAAGGAGAAGUUCCGCAAGUUAGAGCAAGGGGACCGCUCAGUGGCGGAGUAUGAACAAGAGUUCUCCCAUAUCAUAGACUGUGUCCCGGACGUUGUAAAGGAUGACCGGGACCGGGCCGAGUGGUUCUUGCGAGGACUUCGGCCGGGAAUCUAUAAGGCCGUGUAAAUACUCAAACUCACGACCUUUGCGGAGGUCUUUGAUCGAGCCCUAUGGGCGGAGCACGGAGACGCCCACGUUCGGGAGAAGCGUGAACUUUUGGCCGAGUCCAAGGACAAGGGCAAGAAACACCAAGGCGGCGGUGAUUCGAGAGGUCAAACACGUUACAAGAAACCCCCGAAGUAUCCGCGCACUCAACAGAAGGGCGGUGGAGCGCGGCGGUGCAUUGUAUGCGGCGGAGACCACCCAGUCUCGCGCUGUGAGCAAGGCCGAGGCAAGUGCUACAAGUGCGGGCAACCGGGGCACUUCAUUCGGGACUGCCCGGGAGGAGGAGCCUCACCUGCCCCAUCGAUUGCAUCGGCGCCGGCGAUUCCGGCUCACUAUGGAGGAGCUCCACCGACGGCCGCGUCGACGGGACACGCGAUGAUGCCGCGUCAACCUGAAGUGACGCGAUCGGCCCCGAGCGGACGGGUAUUCGCCGCUCAGGUCCAAGCUGAGGAACCUGCGGAGGCGGAGGAGCAUCGCCUUGUGGCAGGUAUGGUUUUAAUUAACGGAGUUCGCUCCAGGGCUUUAUUUGAUACAGGAGCCACCCAUUCAUUCAUAAGUAGAUCAUUCGCACGCAUGCAUGACAUUCUCAUAGAGGCGAGUGACAAAUGGCGAGUCGAGGGCCCUGGGUCGACGUUUAACACUUACUCGGAGUGUGCGUCGUGUCCGGUACAAAUAGGCGACUGGAUUAUGCCUAUCCGAACACUGGAACUCACAAAGCUUGAGGCUUAUGACGUCAUUCUGGGUAUGGACCGGCUCUCGAAAUAUCACGCAACAAUUGACUGCAAGAGUAGGGUGAUCACAUUCCGUGAGCCAGGACAAAAGGAAUUCACCUAUCGGGCUUGUCAGAGCUCGUGCUUCAUCGCGACGGUGUCGGCGACAAGAGCAAGAAAGUUGGUGAGCAACGGUUGUGCGGCGUUCUUAGCGACCGUUGUAGAGGUGGAUCGAGUAACUCCCACAUUGGAGAAGAUAUCAGUGGUGCGGGAGUUCCCGGAUGUGUUUCCUACGAAGUUGCCGGGGAUACCACCGGAUCGGGAGAUCGAGUUCGUUAUAGACUUGGUUCCCGGUACCGCACCGAUCUCGAAGGCUCCGUACCGAAUGGCGCCGGCGGAACUGAAAGAGUUGAGGAGUCAAUUGCAAGACCUCCUCGACAAGCAAUUUAUCCGGCCAAGUGUAUCAUCGUGGGGAACCCCGGUGUUGUUCGUGAGGAAGAAAGACGGAUCGUUUCGACUCUGUGUGGAUUAUCGAGAGUUAAACAGAGUCACGAUCAAGAACAAGUACCCACUACCCCGAAUCGAUGACCUGUUCGAUCAGUUACAAGGGUCGUGCGUGUACUCGAAGAUAGAUUUGCAAUCCGGCUAUCACCAGUUGAAAAUCAAGCCGGAGGAUGUGCAAAAGACCGCGUUCCGCACGCGGUAUGGACACUAUGAAUUCACGGUUAUGCCAUUUGGACUCACGAAUGCUCCAGCGGCGUUCAUGGAUUUGAUGAACCGUGUCUUCAGAGAAUAUUUGGACCGAUUUGUCGUGGUAUUCAUAGACGACAUCUUGGUCUAUUCUCGCAGCGACGAGGAACAUGCCGAGCAGUUGAGGAUAGUGCUUCAAGUCCUUCGGGAGGAGAAGCUAUAUACUAAGCUGAAGAAGUGUGACUUCUGGCUUCGCGAAGUCGCCUUCUUAGGGCAUGUGAUUUCCGUGGGUGGAACUUUAGACCCGAGGAAAGUUGAAGCAAUCAAGGAUUGGCCGCGCCCGACAAAUGUCACGGAGGUUCGAAGCUUCGUGGGCUUAGCGGGUUAUUAUAGGCGGUUUGUGGAAGGCUUCUCCAAGAUUGUAAUUCCACUUACCCGCCUGACUCAGAAAGGCACCAAGUUUGUUUGGAGCGAGGAGUGCGACCGGAGUUUCAAGGAGUUGAAGCAAAGACUGACUUCGACUCCGGUGCUCGCUCUACCGGUGCAGGGCGAAGACUUCGUAGUCUACAGCGAUGCCUCCUAUCUUGGAUUGGGGUGUGUAUUGAUGCAAAACGGGAAAGUGAUCGCUUAUGCAUCCCGUCAGCUGAAGAGCUAUGAGAAGAACUACCCCAUUCAUGAUUUGGAGCUAGCGGCGGUGAUUUUCGCCUUGAAGCUGUGGAGGCACUACCUAUAUGGUGCCCAUUGUGAGAUUUAUACCAACCACAAGAGCUUGAAGUACCUGUUUACACAGAAGGAGCUCAACAUGCGUCAGCGGCGGCAGUUGGAGUUGUUAAAGGAUUAUGACGUUGAUAUCCUCUACCACCCCGGGAAGGCAAAUGUGUUCGCGGAUGCACAUAGUAAGAAGUCGGCAAAGAACCUCGCCUUUGAUGUUACCCAGCAAACACCCCUAUGGCUGGAUUUGGAGCGAUUAGACCUUGAAGUGGUCGCUCCCGAGGUCCCGACUCAGUUGAUGGCACUCGUUGUCCAACCGACCUUGUUGGAGAGGAUCAAGGAUCUGCAGCCCGCAGACCCAGAACUCCAAAAGGUGCGGCGAAACAUCGAGGAUGGUCACGACGGCGAUUUCAGUAUGAACACUGAUGGUACGCUUCGGUUUCGAAAUCGGUGGUGUGUGCCAAAAGAUGAAGAGCUUCGUGAAUUGAUUCUACAAGAAGCACACCGAUCUCCAUAUGCCGAUCACCCGGGCGGCACCAAGAUGUAUCAAGGACUAAAAAUGCACUAUUGGUGGCCGGGAAUGAAAGGUGAUAUUGGACGCUUUGUGGCGAAGUGCUUAACGUGCCAACAAGUAAAGGCCGAGCGUCGAUUUCCAGCGGGAAAGCUUCAAAGCCUACCAAUCCCCGUUUGGAAAUGGGAGGAUAUAUCAAUGGACUUCGUGGUCGGCUUGCCCCGUUCAACGGGCGGCCACGAUGCAAUUUGGGUAAUUGUGGACCGAUUGACGAAGUCGGCUCACUUCUUGCCGAUCCACACCACGUGGUCGGGUGACAAGUUAGCGCAGGUAUACCUUGACGAGAUAGUGAGACUGCAUGGGGUGCCGAAAUCGAUCGUGUCGGAUCGUGACCCCCGGUUCACUUCACACUUCUGGAAGAGCCUGCAGGGAGCCCUUGGCACACGGCUCGACUUUAGCACCGCAUUUCAUCCUCAGACCGAUGGGCAAACAGAGAGAACCAUUCAAACUCUGGAGGACAUGUUGCGAGCGUGUGUCAUCGACUAUAAGGGAAGUUGGUGUGACCACCUACCUAUGGCCGAGUUCGCCUACAACAACAGUUAUCAUGCUAGUGUGGAGAUGGCACCGUUCGAGGCUCUCUAUGGGCGGACGUGUCGGUCUCCUAUACACUGGAGCGAUGUGGGCGAGCGUGCGGAGUUCGGCCCCGAUGUGUUGCGAGAAGCAGAGGAGAAAGUCCGCCUUGCUCGCAAGAGAUUGCUCACUGCGCAGUCAAGACAGCAAAGCUAUGCGGACAGGUGCCGACGAGAUAUAGAGUUCACGGUGGGUGACAGCGUAUUCUUAAAAGUUUCACCGAUGCGGGGUAUGAAGCGGUUUGGAGUGCGGGGAAAGCUAAGUCCCCGAUACAUUGGACCCUAUGAAAUAUUGGAGCGAGUUGGCACGGUGGCUUAUCGACUCGCUUUGCCGCCGAAGCUCGCGGAUGUACACAAUGUGUUCCAUGUCUCCAAUCUCCGCAAGUAUAUUCACGAUCCCGAGCAUGCGAUGCUAUAUGAACCGCCGAAACUUCAAGGAGACUUGAGUUAUGAAGAGUUUCCGAUAGGGAUUAUCGCCUGAGAAGUGCGAAAGAUAAGGAAUCAAGAAAUUCCCUACGUGAAGGUUAGGUGGAGCAAUCAUGAUGAUCGCGAGGCCACCUGGGAACUCGAGGAUCUGAUGAGAAGACACCACCCUCAUCUGUUCGAGGAGUGAGGUAAAGAUUUAAAUUAAGUAAAGAAUCGAAUUAGUUUCGAGGACGAAACUCCUUUUAAGGAGGGGAGGAUGUAAGGAAGUGAAUUCUCGAAAUCCGAGAGUUGUACUUCAUCCAGGAUCGACUAAUUGUCGAGAGAAUACCCUUUGGGGAAAUUAAAAAUAUCCAGAGCACAAAAAGUGCCUUGGAGUUGANUUAGUUUCGAGGACGAAACUCCUUUUAAGGAGGGGAGGAUGUAAGGAAGUGAAUUCUCGAAAUCCGAGAGUUGUACUUCAUCCAGGAUCGACUAAUUGUCGAGAGAAUACCCUUUGGGGAAAUUAAAAAUAUCCAGAGCACAAAAAGUGCCUUGGAGUUGAGUCCACGAGAGCAAAUAGCGCAAACAGCAUUAUUAGGCUGAUGUUACUCUCGGGGACCGGUCUCUGGAGGUGAGAGACCGGUUCCAUCGGCUGGGCAUAGCGGGGUUGCUUGGUGCAACCGGUCCCUGGCAGGGAGGGACCGGUUCCCGAACGUGGUCCCAGCGAGAAAUGCCGAAAUUUGGCUAAGUCCUGAAAAUUGAGCUCUCGAGGACCGGUCUCUCAGGCGAGGACUGGUCUCCCGAGGACCGGUUUCCCGGGGAGAGACUGGUUCCCGAAUGCGUGCACCCGAGGGAGGCUCUCGGGGACCGGUCCCAAGUCGGGGAGACCGGUCCCUCCGCGCGAAAACCGCCCAGUAAGGGCUGUGCAAGGGGUUAAAAGUUGAGGGGUCUAAAUGCAAAAUGGCCUUUAUUAGAGAGAG
rnacentral:lncRNA from 1 species